GACGAACGCUGGCGGCGUGCUUAACACAUGCAAGUCGAGCGGUAAGGCCCUUUCGGGGGUACGACGAGCGGCGAACGGGUGAGUAACACGUGGGUGACCUGCCCUCAGCUCUGGGAUAAGCCUGGGAAACCGGGUCUAAUACUGGAUAUGACUCCAUGACGCAUGUUGUGGGGUGGAAAGCCUUGUGCGGCUGAGGAUGGGCCCGCGGCCUAUCAGCUUGUUGGUGGGGUGANGGCCUACCAAGGCGACGACGGGUAGCCGGCCUGAGAGGGCGACCGGCCACACGUGGGACUGAGACACCGGCCCAGACUCCGUACGGGAGGCAGCAGGUGGGGAAUCUUGCGCAAGUGGGACGAAAGCCUGACGCAGCGACGCCGCGU
rnacentral:rRNA from 1 species